AACGCGAAGAACCUUACCUGGGCUCGAAAUGUUGUGGACCGUGGUGGAAACAUCACUUCCCCGCAAGGGGCUGCAAUAUAGGUGCUGCAUGGCUGUCGUCAGCUCGUGUCGUGAGAUGUUGGGUUAAGUCCCGCAACGAGCGCAACCCUUACCCCCAGUUGCCAUCAUUAAGUUGGGCACUCUGGUGGAACCGCCUCGGAUAACGGGGAGGAAGGUGGGGAUGACGUCAAGUCAGGAUGGCCCUUACGGCCAGGGCUGCACACGUACUACAAUGCCCAGUACAGAAUGAUCCGAAUCCGCGAGGUGGAGGAAAUCACUAAAACUGGGCCCAGUUCGGAUUGUAGGCUGCAACUCGCCUACAUGAAGCCGGAAUCGCUAGUAAUGGCGCAUCAGCUACGGCGCCGUGAAUACGUUCCCGGGCCUUGGUACACACCGGAGUA
rnacentral:rRNA from 1 species